UGGGGAAUAUUGCACAAUGGGGGAAACCCUGAUGCAGCGACGCCGCGUGAGCGAAGAAGGCUUUCGAGUCGUAAAGCUCUGUCCUAUGAGAAGAUAAUGACGGUAUCAUAGGAGGAAGCCCUGGCUAAAUACGUGCCAGCAGCCGCGGUAAUACGUAUGGGGCGAGCGUUGUCCGGAAUUAUUGGGCGUAAAGGGUACGUAGGCGGUUUUUUAAGUCAGGUGUCAAAGCGUGGAGCUUAACUCCAUUAAGCACUUGAAACUGAAAGACUUAAGUGAAGGAGAGGAAAGUGGAAUUCCUAGUGUAGCGGUGAAAUACGUAGAUAUUAGGAGGAAUACCGGUGGCGAAGGCGACUUUCUGGACUUUUACUGACGCUCAGAUACGAAAGCAUGGGGAGCAAACAGG
rnacentral:rRNA from 1 species